rnacentral:rRNA from 1 species
ACGCGCAGAACCUUACCAACCCUUGACAUCCUGUGCUACUACCAGAGAUGGUACGUUCCCNUUCGGGGACGCAGUGACAGGUGCUGCAUGGCUGUCGUCAGCUCGUGUCGUGAGAUGUUCGGUUAAGUCCGGCAACGAGCGCAACCCACAUCUUUAGUUGCCAUCAGGUUAAGCUGGGCACUCUAGAGAAACUGCCCGUGAUAAGCGGGAGGAAGGUGUGGAUGACGUCAAGUCCUCAUGGCCCUUACGGGUUGGGCUACACACGUGCUACAAUGGCAGUGACAAUGGGUUAAUCCCCAAAAGCUGUCUCAGUUCGGAUUGGGGUCUGCAACUCGACCCCAUGAAGUCGGAAUCGCUAGUAAUCGCGUAACAGCAUGACGCGGUGAAUACGUUCCCGGGCCUUGUACACACCGCCCGUCACACCAUGGGAGUUGGUUNUACCCGACGACGNUGCGCUAACCNUNNGGNG